ACCCAGAGCAAGAAGCAGUCUAAAGAACACAAUGCCUGGUUAGUACUUGGAUGGGGGACUGCCUGGGAAUACCCGGUGCUGUAGGAU
ensembl:rRNA 5S_rRNA 5S ribosomal RNA